UGGGCGUAAAGGGUGCGCAGCAGCAUGUCAAGUCUGAAGUGAAAGGUACCAGCUUACUGGUACAGGCUAGGAAACUGGCAUGCUAGAGACAGGAGAGGGCGGUGAACUCCAUGUGUAGCGGUAAAAUGCGUAGAUAUAUGGAAGAACACCAGUGGCGAAGGCGGCCGCCUGGACUGUUACUGACGCUCAGGCACGAAAGCGUGGGGAGCAAAUAGGAUUAGAUACCCUAGUAGUCCACGCCCUAAACGAUGAGGAGCAGGUGUCGGGGGCAGAGCCUCGGUGCCGAAGCCAACGCAGUGACUCCUCCGCCUGGGGAGUAUGCACGCAAGUGUGAAACUCAAAGGAAUUGACGGGGGCCCGCACAAGCGGUGGAGUAUGUGGUUUAAUUCGAAGCAACGCGAAGAACCUUACCAGGCCUUGACAUGGGAUGCGAAGGUGCAGAGAUGUACUGGAGGUUAUCAUCCACACAGGUAGAAAAAAAGUUGUCGUCAGCUCGUGUCGUGAGAUGUUCAGUUAAGUCUGGCAACGAGCGCAACCCUCGUGAUAUGUUGCUAACAUUCAGUUGAGGACUCAUAUCAGACUGCCGGUACAAACCGGAGGAAGGUGGGGAUGACGUCAAAUCAUCAUGCCCCUUAUGGCCUGGGCUACACACGUACUACAAUGGCAUCUACAAAGGGGAGCGAACCUGUGAAGGGAAGCGAACCCCAGAAAAGAUGUCCCAGUUCGGAUUGAAGUCUGCAACCCGACUUCAUGAAGUUGGAAUCGCUAGUAAUCGCGGAUCAGCAUGCCGCGGUGAAUACGUUCCCGGGCCUUGUACACCCCCCCCCUCACACCAUGGGAGUCGGUAACACCCGAAGCCGAUAGUCUAACGA
rnacentral:rRNA from 1 species